rnacentral:rRNA from 1 species
UACAGAGGUCUCAAGCGUUGUUCGGAUUCAUUGGGCGUAAAGGGUGCGUAGGUGGCGCGGUAAGUCGGGUGUGAAAUUUCGGAGCUUAACUCCGAAACUGCAUUCGAUACUGCCGUGCUUGAGGACUGGAGAGGAGACUGGAAUUUACGGUGUAGCAGUGAAAUGCGUAGAGAUCGUAAGGAAGACCAGUGGCGAAGGCGGGUCUCUGGACAGUUCCUGACGCUGAAGCACGAAGGCCAGGGGAGCAAACGGG